rnacentral:rRNA from 1 species
UACGAAGGGGGCUAGCGUUGCUCGGAAUCACUGGGCGUAAAGCGCACGUAGGCGGACUCUUAAGUCAGGGGUGAGAUCCUGGAGCUCAACUCCAGAACUGCCUUUGAUACUGGGAGUCUUGAGUCCGGAAGAGGUAAGUGGAACUGCGAGUGUAGAGGUGAAAUUCGUAGAUAUCGGGAGGAAUACCAGUGGCGAAGGCGGCGACCUGGGCCAAUACUGACGCUGAGGUGCGAAAGCGUGGGGAGCAAACAGG